rnacentral:rRNA from 1 species
GAUGAACGCUGGCGGCGUGCCUAAUACAUGCAAGUCGAGCGAACAGACGAGGAGCUUGCUCCUCUGACGUUAGCGGCGGACGGGUGAGUAACACGUGGAUAACCUACCUAUAAGACUGGGAUAACUUCGGGAAACCGGAGCUAAUACCGGAUAAUAUAUUGAACCGCAUGGUUCAAUAGUGAAAGACGGUUUUGCUGUCACUUAUAGAUGGAUCCGCGCCGCAUUAGCUAGUUGGUAAGGUAACGGCUUACCAAGGCAACGAUGCGUAGCCGACCUGAGAGGGGUGUGAGCCACCAUGGGAGUGGACACCGGGCCAGGCGCCCUCGGGAAGGAGCAGGAAGGAAUCCUCCGGAAAGGGGGAAAGCCCGGAGGAGUAACGGCGGGGGGGUGAAGAAAGUUUUCGGUAGCUAAAACCUUUUUUUUGAGGAAGAAAAAAUUGUGUAAGAAAAAAUGCCCGUUUGGAGGGACCUUAAUAAAAAGCCAACGCCAAAUUACGUC